CCUACGGGUGGCAGCAGUUAGGGAUAUUGCACAAUGGGGGGAACCCUGAUGCAGCGACGCCGCGUGGGUGAAGGAGCGUUUCGGCGCGUAAAGCCCUAUCGGCAGGGAAGACGGAGGACGGUAGCUGACUAAGAAGCCACGGCUAACUACGUGCCAGCCGCCGCGGUAAUACGUAGGGGGCAAGCGUUAGCCGGAUUUACUGGGUGUAAAGGAGGCUCAGACGGCAGCUGAAGCCAGGGGUGAAAGCCCGAGGCCCAAACCCGGUACUGCUCUUGCAACUGCGCGGCUGGAGUGCAGGAGGGGGAGGCGGAAUUCGUGGUGUAGCGGUGAAAGGCGUAGAUAUCAGGAGGAACACCGGUGGCGAAGGCGGCCUGCUGGACUGCGACUGACGUUGAGGCCCGAAAGCGUGGGGAGCAAACAGGAUUAGAUACCCCGGUAGUC
rnacentral:rRNA from 1 species